rnacentral:rRNA from 1 species
ACGGCUCAGUAACACGUGGACAACCUGCCCUGAGGACUGGAAUAAUCCCGGGAAACUGGGAGUAAUUCCAGAUAUGCCAGGGAACCUGGAAUGGUUUCUGGCAGAAAUGCUCCGGCGCCUCAGGAUGGGUCUGCGGCCUAUCAGGGUAGUAGUGGGUGUAACGUACCCACUAGCCUACGACGGGUACGGGUUGUGAGAGCAAGAGCCCGGAGAUGGAUUCUGAGACAUGAAUCCAGGCCCUACGGGGUGCAGCAGGCGCGAAAACUUUACAAUGCGGGCAACCGCGAUAAGGGGACCUCGAGUGCUGGGUUACAAACCUGGCUGUUGGGCUGCCUAAAAAGCAGUCUAUAGCAAGGGCCGGGCAAGACCGGUGCCAGCCGCCGCGGCAACACCGGCGGCUCGAGUGGUAACCGCUGUUAUUGGGUCUAAAGGGUCUGUAGCCUGCCGGCUAAGUCUCUUGGGAAAUCUGGCAUCUCAAGUGUCAGGCUGCCAGGGGAUACUGGUCAGCUUGGGACCGGGAGAGGUGAGAGGUACCUCAGGGGUAGGGGUGAAAUCUUGUAAUCCUUGAGGGACCACCAGUGGCGAAGGCGUCUCACCAGAACGGAUCCGACGGCAAGGGACGAAAGCUAGGGGCACGAACCGGAUUAGAUACCCGGGUAGUCCUAGCCGUAAACGAUACUCGCUAGGUGUCGGCCACGGUGCGACCGUGGUCGGUGCCGUAGGGAAGCCGUGAAGCGAGCCACCUGGGAAGUACGGCCGCAAGGCUGAAACUUAAAGGAAUUGGCGGGGGAG